rnacentral:rRNA from 1 species
UUAAAUUGAAGAGUUUGAUCAUGGCUCAGAUUGAACGCUGGCGGCAGGCCUAACACAUGCAAGUCGAACGGUAACAGGAAGCAGCUUGCUGCUUCGCUGACGAGUGGCGGACGGGUGAGUAAUGUCUGGGAAACUGCCUGAUGGAGGGGGAUAACUACUGGAAACGGUGGCUAAUACCGCAUAACGUCGCAAGACCAAAGAGGGGGACCUUCGGGCCUCUUGCCAUCAGAUGUGCCCAGAUGGGAUUAGCUGGUUGGUGAGGUAACGGCUCACCAAGGCGACGAUCCCUAGCUGGUCUGAGAGGAUGACCAGCCACACUGGAACUGAGACACGGUCCAGACUCCUACGGGAGGCAGCAGUGGGGAAUAUUGCACAAUGGGCGCAAGCCUGAUGCAGCCAUGCCGCGUGUAUGAAGAAGGCCUUCGGGUUGUAAAGUACUUUCAGCGGGGAGGAAGGUGUUGUGGUUAAUAACCGCAGCAAUUGACGUUACCCGCAGAAGAAGCACCGGCUAACUCCGUGCCAGCAGCCGCGGUAAUACGGAGGGUGCAAGCGUUAAUCGGAAUUACUGGGCGUAAAGCGCACGCAGGCGGUCUGUCAAGUCGGAUGUGAAAUCCCCGGGCUCAACCUGGGAACUGCAUUCGAAACUGGCAGGCUUGAGUCUUGUAGAGGGGGGUAGAAUUCCAGGUGUAGCGGUGAAAUGCGUAGAGAUCUGGAGGAAUACCGGUGGCGAAGGCGGCCCCCUGGACAAAGACUGACGCUCAGGUGCGAAAGCGUGGGGAGCAAACAGGAUUAGAUACCCUGGUAGUCCACGCCGUAAACGAUGUCUACUUGGAGGUUGUGCCCUUGAGGCGUGGCUUCCGGAGCUAACGCGUUAAGUAGACCGCCUGGGGAGUACGGCCGCAAGGUUAAAACUCAAAUGAAUUGACGGGGGCCCGCACAAGCGGUGGAGCAUGUGGUUUAAUUCGAUGCAACGCGAAGAACCUUACCUGGUCUUGACAUCCACAGAACUUUCCAGAGAUGGAUUGGUGCCUUCGGGAACUGUGAGACAGGUGCUGCAUGGCUGUCGUCAGCUCGUGUUGUGAAAUGUUGGGUUAAGUCCCGCAACGAGCGCAACCCUUAUCCUUUGUUGCCAGCGAUUAGGUCGGGAACUCAAAGGAGACUGCCAGUGAUAAACUGGAGGAAGGUGGGGAUGACGUCAAGUCAUCAUGGCCCUUACGACCAGGGCUACACACGUGCUACAAUGGCGCAUACAAAGAGAAGCGACCUCGCGAGAGCAAGCGGACCUCAUAAAGUGCGUCGUAGUCCGGAUUGGAGUCUGCAACUCGACUCCAUGAAGUCGGAAUCGCUAGUAAUCGUGGAUCAGAAUGCCACGGUGAAUACGUUCCCGGGCCUUGUACACACCGCCCGUCACACCAUGGGAGUGGGUUGCAAAAGAAGUAGGUAGCUUAACCUUCGGGAGGGCGCUUACCACUUUGUGAUUCAUGACUGGGGUGAAGUCGUAACAAGGUAACCGUAGGGGAACCUGCGGUUGGAUCACCUCCUUACCUUAAAGAA